rnacentral:rRNA from 1 species
AUUGAACGCUGGCGGCAUGCCUUACACAUGCAAGUCGAACGGUAACAGGUCUUCGGAUGCUGACGAGUGGCGAACGGGUGAGUAAUACAUCGGAACGUGCCCAGACGUGGGGGAUAACGAGGCGAAAGCUUUGCUAAUACCGCAUACGAUCUAAGGAUGAAAGCAGGGGACCGCAAGGCCUUGUGCGUUUGGAGCGGCCGAUGGCAGAUUAGGUAGUUGGUGGGAUAAAAGCUUACCAAGCCGACGAUCUGUAGCUGGUCUGAGAGGACGACCAGCCACACUGGGACUGAGACACGGCCCAGACUCCUACGGGAGGCAGCAGUGGGGAAUUUUGGACAAUGGGCGAAAGCCUGAUCCAGCAAUGCCGCGUGCAGGAUGAAGGCCUUCGGGUUGUAAACUGCUUUUGUGCGGAACGAAGAGGCUCUGGCUAAUACCUGGGGCACAUGACGGUACCGUAAGAAUAAGCACCGGCUAACUACGUG